CCAAAACGUCCAUGAAGACAACCAAAGAUCGGGUCGGGCCAAAGGUGAAUCAAGCCCACUCCACUAAGUAUUUUCUUAAGCUUUAAGUCUUUUGUAAAAUAUCUUAGUUAUGGAGAAGUGUAGAAAAGUGUAGAGAAGUGUAGAAACUUGUAGAACACUUGAGAAGAACCCUCACAACCGUUAGAUCAAUUUGAUCUGAACCGUCCGUUGAGGAGGAGAAAGUGUAUAUAAAGGGGAUCACCCCUCACUUGUAAAACCACCAAGUUUUAAUAAGAAAACUCUUCUACAAACUCUCUCUCUCUCUCUAAAUCGUCCACACACUCUCUCUAAGUACUGGGCGAGUUGUCCGAAAGGCUGACUUAGCAAACCAUAAGGAGGAAAGUUGCUAAGGCCGCACGUCCUGAUUGCUGUGAAGAAAUCAGUCCGUGACAGUUGGUAUCAGAGCCGAGUUACGAUCCAAACAAGAGGAGACUCUGGCCGAACGGAGAAAAUGGCUAAGGGAGAUAAACAAAAAGAAACGAGCUCACAGUCCGGCGUGGAGGAGCGUGGAAGGGAGUCCACGGCCACACGUGCUGGCACCCAGCGGGAAAAGAGUGUUUCUCGUGAGGCUUUGGGGGUGGCUGUGGGCGAGAUGGGUGAUAAGCUCGAGAGGGUCGAGCAUACCGUCACUGAGCUGGAGAGUGUUGUGUUCGGUGGGCUUGAGGAAGUCAAGCAAAAUGCUGCCGACUUGGACUCUCGGUUCAUUCGGCUCGAGGAGCUGGUGACGGGAUCCAUGCAGGCUUUGCGUGAUGACAUCGAGGGGAUGAAGGCACGCUUUACUGCGAUGGAGGAAGACAUCACGCUGGUCAAGAGGGCAAGCGCAAACGCUGGAGCCGUUAGCGGAACCAGUUUUGGUAAGGUUGAGCUUCCGAAACCAAACCGGUUCAACGGUGUGCGUGAUGCCAAGGAGGUCGAGAAUUUCCUUUGGCAGAUGGAGAUAUACUUCGACAAUCUCAGCGUGGUGGCUGAGAAUGCGAAGGUGAAGGCUGCGACCUCCUACCUGUCGGACACAGCCAUGUUAUGGUGGCGAAGGAAGCAUUCCGAGAUCGAGCAAGGAACCUGCCGGAUCGAUACUUGGGAUGACUUCAAGAAGGAACUGAAGCGGCAGUUCUACACAGAGAACGUCAUAUAUGAGGCCCGCAAGAAGUUGAGGGAACUUCGACAGCGCGGCUCGAUCCGGGUCUAUGUGAAGGAGUUCACAACGCUCAUGCUUCAGAUUCCGAAUAUGACCGCAGAGGAUCUGGUGUUCUACUUCACCGAUGGACUACAAUCUUGGGCCAAGCAAGAGUUGCAGCGUCGGGGAGUUAAGACGGUAGACGAAGCCAUCGCGGUGGCCGAGUCGCUAAUUGACUUCCGUACCUCUGGUCCGUCCGAGUCCUCGGAGAAGAAGGAGCAGGUCGUGGCCAAAGGUGGGGGAGCAAAACGGGACACUGGCCGACCAUCCAACUCAAGGAGUUUUGAGAAGGGUGUUCGUCGGGAAGACUUCGAGGCAAGAAAAAAGUCCUUUGUUCCUAAGGGAGGAUGCUUUGUGUGCAAGGGGCCACAUGCAAUGAAGGACUGCCCAAAGAUGGGGUCUUUAUCGGCUAUUAUGGAGAGUCGGGACCCCGAGACUCCAGAAGGGGAACCAAGAAAGAUGGGGUCGUUGCAACUUCUCAACGCCCUAAAGGCUAACCCGGUAGUGAAACCGACGAGCAAAGGGCUCAUGUACGUGGAAGCUUGGAUAAACGAUAAGCCGACCCGAGUGAUGGUGGACACGGGCGCCACUCACAACUUCAUGGCGACAGACGAAGCUGUGAGACUUGGCGUCAAGUGGUCCAAGAAGGAUGGUUGGAUGAAGACGGUGAACGCAAGGGCUCAGCCUGUCAAUGGUAUAGCUCGAGGCGUCGGGAUGAAGCUGGGAAGCUGGAGCGGCCCGGUGAACUUCUCAGUCAUUCCCAUGGACGAUUUCAAGGUAGUCUUGGGUAUGGACUUCAUAUGACAAGUCUCGGCCAUACCCAUGCCUGCAUUGAGCUCGGUCUGCAUCCUCGAGAAGGGUUCACCGUGCAUGAUUCCGACCUUGGAAGAGAAAAGUGAAGGGACGAGACAACUAUCGGCGAUGCAGCUCACCAAGGGGGUGAAGAAGGGUGAACCCACGUUUUUGGCCAUGAUGAAGGUGGAGGAUGAGCCCAAUAAAGUGGAGGACAUCCCUCAAAUCAUCAAAACGGUCCUUGAGGAGAACAAGGACGUUAUGCCGGCAAAGUUGCCAGAGAAGCUACCACCAAGGAGGGCGGUGGACCACCAGAUCGAGUUGGAGCCAGGAGCCAAACCACCAUCUAUGGCACCAUAUAGAAUGGCUCCAUCCGAACUAGAGGAGUUACGGAAACAACUCGAUGAGUUAUUAUCGAUGGGGAAGCUGAGACCGUCGAAGGCACCUUAUGGGGCCCCGGUUCUGUUCCAAAAGAAGCAUGAUGGCUCAUUGAGGAUGUGCGUGGACUACCGGGCCCUUAACAAGGUAACGAUCAAGAACCGUUAUCCCAUUCCGCUGAUUGCUGAUCUAUUCGAUAGACUUGGUGGGGCGAAAGUCUAUACGAAGAUGGACUUGCAGAAGGGUUACUACCAAGUCCGGAUAGCGGAAGGGGACGAGCCGAAGACUGCGUGCAUAACACGGUAUGGGUCGUUCGAGUGGAUGGUAAUGCCAUUCGGUCUUACGAACGCCCCCGCCACGUUUUGUACUCUAAUGAACCAGAUCCUACAGCCCUACUUGGAUCGGUUUGUGGUGGCAUACUUGGAUGAUAUCGUUAUCUACAGCAACUCGAUGGAGGAGCAUGUGGAACACUUGCGGACAGUAUUCCGGGUUCUCCGCGAGAAUGAGUUGUUUGUGAAGCGAGAGAAGUGUACUUUUGCCACCAAGGAAGUUCAGUUCCUUGGCCAUGUUAUCGGCCCUGGAAAGCUGAAGAUGGAUGAACCGAAGGUCAAAGCAAUUAUGGAGUGGGAGGCCCCGACCAAGGUAACGGAGUUGCGAUCUUUUCUUGGUCUGGUCAACUAUUAUCGUCGGUUCAUCGAGGGAUACUCAAAGAAAGCAGCACCACUGACGGAUCUUCUCAAGAAAGGGAAGACAUGGGACUGGUCCGGACCUUGUCAGGAGGCUUUCGAGGAACUGAAGACUGCGGUAAGCCAGGAACCCGUCCUUGCCUUACCCGACUUCAGUCUCCCUUUCGAGUUACACACGGAUACCUCCGACUUUGCUAUUGGGGGAGUGCUGAUGCAAAAUGGACAUCCAGUUGCCUUUGAAAGCCGUAAGCUCAAUGAGACUGAACGGCGGUACACGGUUCAAGAGAAAGAAAUGACCGCGAUAGUCCAUUGCUUGCGAGUUUGGAGACACUACCUUCUCGGGGCGCAUUUCUCGGUCAAGACGGACAAUGUGGCAACGAGUUACUUCCAAACACAGAAGAAGUUGUCCCCGAAACAAGCGAGAUGGCAAGACUUCCUGGCUGAGUUCGAUUACACUUUGGAGUACAAGCCAGGAAAGGUGAAUGUAGUUGCCGAUGCACUAAGUCGGAAGGCGGAGCUGGCAGCGAUGAGCCAAGUCAAGGGGACUAUUAUGGCUCGAAUUAGAGAGGGACUAGAACGUGAUCCAGUCGCUAAGGAGCUGGUGAAGCUAUCCAACGAGGGGAAGGUGCAUCGAUUUUGGGUAGAGGACGGGUUACUCUACACCAAAGGUCGAAGGCUUUAUGUGCCUAAGUGGGAGAGUCUUCGACGUGAUAUCAUCCGGGAGUGCCACGAUACGCGAUGGGCGGGCCAUCCGGGACAGAAAAGAACCAUGGCACUCGUCGAAGCUGGAUACUAUUGGCCACGGAUGAGGGAUACCGUGGAGCUUUAUGUGAAAACUUGUCUAGUCUGCCAACAAGACAAGUCGGAAAACAUGCAGCCCGCGGGAUUGUUACAACCACUACCCAUCCCGGAGCGACCAUGGGACUCGGUCUCGCUUGAUUUCAUCAGUGCGUUACCCAAGUCCGAAGGGUUUGGAUCCAUCCUUGUGAUUGUGGAUCGAUUCUCUAAAUAUGGGACGUUCGUGGCUUGUGAUCGGGACUGCACUGCGGAAGAGGCAGCAAAGGCGUUCUUCAAGAACGUGGUGAAGCUUUGGGGACUGCCUCGGAAUAUUGUAAGUGACCGGGAUCCCCGGUUCACUGGGCGUUUAUGGACAGAGCUGUUCAAAAUACUUGGGACGGAACUGAGCUUCUCAACCAGCUUUCACCCGCAAUCUGAUGGACAGACUGAAAGGGUGAAUGCCUUGCUUGAAAGUUAUCUCCGUCACUUUGUAAGCGCUAACCAACGGGACUGGGCGAAGUUGUUGGACAUAGCCCAGUUUUCAUACAACCUUCAACGCAGCGAGGCGACGGGACGGAGUCCGUUCGAGCUUGCAACGGGACAACAGCCAUUGACUCCGCACACCUUGGCCACACCAAGGACUGAAGGGAAGAGUCCUGGAGCGUUCAUAAUGGCUAAGCAGUGGGAAGAACAUGCUGACCUUGCCCGAGCAUGUUUGGAGAAAUCCCGAAAACGGAUGAAGAAAUGGGCAGAUGAGAAGAGACGGCCUUCGGAAUACUCAGUGGGCGACCUUGUACUUGUGAAAUUACUUCCACAACAGUUCAAGGCAUUCCGGAGCCUACACAAAGGAUUGAUCCGGAAGUACGAAGGACCGUUUGAGAUAGCUGGAAAGGUGGGAAAGGUUUCCUACCGGAUCGACCUACCGGAUACACUUAAGAUCCAUCCGGUCUUUCAUGUUAGCAUGCUGAAACCGUACCAUGCUGAUGAGGACGACCAAACCCGAAGGGUUUCGACUCGAGCACCACCUGUGGUGACUAAGUCGUAUGACAAAGAGGUCGAAGAGGUUCUGGCGUCCAAGGAAGUAAGGAAGCGAGGAGUCCCGAGACAGACCCAUUUCCUCAUUAAGUGGAAAGGACUGCCAGAGGCAGAAGCAACAUGGGAAUCGGAGGAAGACUUGUGGCAAUUCCGGGACAUACUGAAGGCAUACACGGCGACGAGGGCGUCACCGGCUUAGGUGGGGGAGGAUGUCACGGCCCGUUUUAACCCAAAACGUCCAUGAAGACAACCAAAGAUCGGGUCGGGCCAAAGGUGAAUCAAGCCCACUCCACUAAGUAUUUUCUUAAGCUUUAAGUCUUUUGUAAAAUAUCUUAGUUAUGGAGAAGUGUAGAAAAGUGUAGAGAAGUGUAGAAACUUGUAGAACACUUGAGAAGAACCCUCACAACCGUUAGAUCAAUUUGAUCUGAACCGUCCGUUGAGGAGGAGAAAGUGUAUAUAAAGGGGAUCACCCCUCACUUGUAAAACCACCAAGUUUUAA
rnacentral:lncRNA from 1 species